AAAGUCCAUUACCGCAGCUGAAAUUGCCCGAGACGACUCGCAUUUGUCUCAAGAUAACUCGUCUUGGAAAGAGAAUGCACGUCUACACAUUUUCUUGGGACAUGAUGAUAUGAGAAAGGUGGAGUUUAAAAGCUAAAACCAAACCGAGCUGGGAAAGAAAACCCAUAGCUGAAAUUCCCUGAGAUGACUCGCAUUUCAAGAGACGGCAAGUCCAAAGCUGCUCUUCAACACUUUUUGCUGAAAUGAACAGGUAGCGAUUUAGCGGGUCAAGCCAUUUGAAACAACGACAAAACCUGUUCAUAAUAAAAUGUUGAUGGGCUCUGUUGAGCUAUUACCGACAAGCCAAAUCGACGGCAAAUCUACGUCUAAAGUAUGCAAUCUCGACGGCAAAUCUACGCCU